AAGUCGUAACAAGGUUUCCGUAGGUGAACCUGCGGACGUAUCCAACGUUAAAACCCCCGUGAACCUUCAUUAUGCUGGUUGUGCGCCAUCGUAGCAAUCCCUGGUAAAUCAUCGCCGAACAGUUUUGAUUCAGGGACCUCUAUUAUAAGAACGAGUCUAACCAUACAGCAUCUAGCAAUGGACCUGGCAUUCCUCUGCUUGUUUGUCUGAAAGUGUCACUAGGUAACGAUCGCUAGAGGCCGACACGGCCGGCGACCAGGUCCCUGGGUGAAAGCCCCCUAUAGUCACCUCCAGUGCACGAUUAACGCGGUGUGCGAUUCGUACGCACUCUCCAUAAAAUGCUUAGAACAACUGUUAACAAAGGAUAUCUUGGUUCUC
rnacentral:misc_RNA from 1 species